CUUCCUGAAGGGACUGAAAACCAAGUGAGGAGAUGCAGGGACACUGGACAGUGACCAGCAGCAGACAAUGUGGCUACUUUCUUUCCUCCACCCAGACCCCAUCUUCCCAGGCACCGUGAGGACAAUGGAAAAGACAGUCGGGCGGAGCGUAAAACAGGCUAUCAAUUUACGUCCCUACAGGAAGUGAACCAGUUGUGGAAGAGGAAGAGGAGAGAAUGGGCAGCGUGGGUGGGCUCUCUGAUUGACGUCUCUCACAGCCAAUCCAAAUAGUUCUGGAGUAACAUGAGUUUCCUGAAGCUUGGGAAACUGACCGGUGAAACGGAGGUAACUUUGAGCAGAUGAGGUGGGGAUUUAAA